GCGGGUGUAGCUCAGUGGUAGAGCGUCACGUUGCCAACGUGAAUGUCGAGGGUUCGAACCCCAUCACCCGCUCCA
rnacentral:tRNA from 1 species